UACGUAGGGGGCAAGCGUUGUCCGGAAUCAUUGGGCGUAAAAAGCGUGUAGGCGGCCCGGUAAGUCCGCUGUGAAAGUCCAGGGCUCAACCCUGGGAUGCCGGUGGAUACUGUCGGGCUCGAGUCCGGAAGAGGAGUGUGGAAUUCCUGGUGUAGCGGUGAAAUGCGCAGAUAUCAGGAGGAACACCAAUGGCGAAGGCAGCACUCUGGGACGUGACUGACGCUGAGACGCGAAAGCGUGGGGAGCAAACAGG
rnacentral:rRNA from 1 species